rnacentral:rRNA from 1 species
UACAGGGGGGGGCAAGCGUUGUUCGGAAUUACUGGGCGUAAAGGGGUUGUAGGCGGCCAACUAAGUCACCCGUGAAAUCCCCAGGCUUAACCUGGGAACUGCGUGUGAUACUGGAUGGCUAGAGUUUGGGAGAGGGAUGCGGAAUUCCAGGUGUAGCGGUGAAAUGCGUAGAUAUCGGGAGGAACACCGGUGGCGAAGGCGGUUCUCUGGGCCUGGUACUGACGCUGAGGAGCGAAAGCGUGGGGAGCGAACAGG